CUUGCUUAUAUUCAAGAUUAUAUUGUUCUUAGUUUAUCAUAGUUAUGUACUUGGCUUAGUUACAUUGGAUCUAUAUACAUGCUUAGGAUCGUAUAGCGUUUAUCCAUCGGAUCCGUGGGUAAAUGAUAGAUAUUGUGUAGGCGUGGUGCUUAUACCGUAUUUAUCUGCGAUUGUACCCAAUAUGCCAGAUCGUGGGGUAGUUCGUGAUAGUGACAGCUUCAUUGAUUCUUAUAUAGUCCCCCUCUCGUGUAUUGGGCUGGCAGAGCAACAUUAUUACAGGGGAGUGAUUGCUAUGUUUCUCAUUUACCUUGCUAAUAUCACUAUGCAUGGGCGUAGUCUUGUCUUGCAAUGAUUGCUAAGU
rnacentral:lncRNA from 1 species